rnacentral:rRNA from 1 species
UACGAAGGGUGCAAGCGUUACUCGGAAUUACUGGGCGUAAAGCGUGCGUAGGCGGUUUGUUAAGUCCGCUGUGAAAGCCCCGGGCUCAACCUGGGAACUGCAUUUGAAACUGGCGGGCUUGAGUGUGGCAGAGGGGGGUGGAAUUCCGCGUGUAGCAGUGAAAUGCGUAGAGAUGUGGAGGAACACCGAUGGCGAAGGCAGCCUCCUGGGCCAGCACUGACGCUCAUGCACGAAAGCGUGGGGAGCAAACAGG